UCUCCCAGUGGACAGAGGAUAAUAAAACAAAUUUUUGGGCACUGGUUUCAUUUAAAAAGGACUUCUAAAUAAUCAGUUAUGAUUUAAAUGGCAUUAAACCCUAUUCUAUAAAUUGACUAUGAUUCAAAUAUUCAAAUUCAUAUUUAAACAGUGCCAAAAGAUUCUACAGGUUUAGAGCUUUCUAAAAAGCUCAAGUUUGUCAAAUUUGGCCAAAGGGUUUAAAAGUUACAAGCAUUUGAAGUUACAGGGGCUUUUCUGCAAAAGUGCUAUUUGUAUUUCGGCCAAAAAAGAAAAAAGAAAAAGCUCUGCCACGUGGCGCGUUGCGGUUGGUCGGGGGCUAGGGUUAGGGUUUUGUUUUUUUGUUUUUUUUUUUACCAGGGAGCUGCCGGUCUUGGGGAAGAUGACCGGUGGCGGCGGCUCAGGCUCGGGCUCGG
rnacentral:lncRNA from 1 species